rnacentral:lncRNA from 1 species
GAGCCUGGAUCUAUUCUUCAUGGAGCCCACAAUCCUGAGUAUUUUAUUUUCCUUCCUAGGCAUGCAACCCGGAUGUUUGGUCAUCAAUGCCAGGAGACAAUGAGAUGAUGUGAUGAUGGAGAGGAAGCACUGGAGGUGCAAUGUUGGGGGAAGAAGAACAACACUGGGAGACUUGGUCCUCUGAAACGGAUUUUGGAAGAGAGAAGCUGAGUGAUGAAGGCAUGCAACCCGGAUGUUUGGUCAUCAAUGCCAGGAGACAAUGAGAUGAUGUGAUGAUGGAGAGGAAGCACUGGAGGUGCAAUGUUGGGGGAAGAAGAACAACACUGGGAGACUUGGUUC